rnacentral:lncRNA from 7 species
GGAGAUGGAUGGAAGAGACGGAGGAGACGCGCCCUCCGCAGCCGGGCCGUACAGCCAUCACCCGGCGGGGCGGUGGGCACCGGGGAGCACCCGAAUGUGCGAGACCGAGCACCGGAGAGCGAGGAACCUUUGUCUGCGAGGUCUCCCGAGGACGCCCGAGUGUUCAUAGCACCUUUCCGGAUGGGGCAGGGCUCCCCAACAAACCCCACAGCGGGGCAGAACGGUGACCCUCUGCCUUUUUUCCCGAGACCGGACAGGACACGUCGGUCGAUCCCGGGACCACGACGGGGACGGAGGAUGGGUCAGUCUGGUGUGCCAUAACCCCGACCUGAGUUUGUGGAGUCAGGUAUCCCGACACAUCCUUGAAGCACAAACUCAGAUGGUGUACAAUGCUAUGCCUGCAAAUACAGCACUUGCACAGACAUGUGUCUAUGUUUUUCUCCUGUAUGUCCCGGAGCUGGGGACUGCCGGGGCCGUCCCUGUGAGCAUCUCCGUUCUGGUCCGCAGCCCGGCAUUGGGUGGGUGCCGGCAGGUGACAGCUUCUCAGGGCCACCCCCUCUCGUUCCCUCCCCGCCUCUGUGGGCUCCUGAGCCUUCGGAAGCUCAACGCACAAAGCGAGGGGAAGGGAGGAGCGGGGGCUCGAGCUCCGAGAGGAGCCGGAGGGCCGAAAAGGGCAUUUGGGGUGGAAAGGGUGCGAAUAGGUGCCGCAAGCGACAGCUCCAGUACGGGGAGCCGGCCCCAUGGAGCGGAGCGGGCCUGCAAUGUGAAUGCAAUUACGCCGCCUGUGUUUGAUGCCUCCCCUUACUCUUCCCCCACAAGCAGUGCCUCGGUACGUCUUAAAAUAGAAGCGAAAUGAAAGGCAGCCUUGAGCGCUCUCUCCUUCCUAACCUCUGCUCCGCUCCGCUUUUAGGAGCGCGCGAUGGGUUUGGGGUCCGGAGCUUUACAGGAGCGCUACGACGGGAGUGGGAGUGCGAGAGGGCUCUCCCUCCUCCGUACCCACAGAGGCGCUCCGUGCCUACCGUCCUCCCGGCAGCCCCGACGGCAGCGCUGUAGGGAAGGGUUCUGGGCCACCACCCGCCUCUGGUUCUCUGGUUGAUAUAGGUGUAUGUAUAUAUGCAUACAUAUAUAGUAAAGCUUGCAGAAAUGUUCGCUUAAACUAUAAAAAUAAAGCCAAUAAAAGACCC